CUGGAAAGUCCGACGGUACAGGGUGAUAGUCCCGUACACCAAAAUGCACAGGCUGUGAACUCGAAGAGUAGGGCGGGACACGUGGUAUCCUGUCUGAAUAUGGGGGGACCAUCCUCCAAGGCUAAAUACUCCUGACUGACCGAUAGUGAACCAGUACCGUGAGGGAAAGGCGAAAAGAACCCCGGCGAGGGGAGUGAAAAAGAACCUGAAACCGUGUACGUACAAGCAGUGGGAGCACCUUCGGGUGUGACUGCGUACCUUUUGUAUAAUGGGUCAGCGACUUAUAUUCUGUAGCAAGGUUAACCGUAUAGGGGAGCCGCAGGGAAACCGAGUCUUAACUGGGCGUUAAGUUGCAGGGUAUAGACCCGAAACCCGGUGAUCUAGCCAUGGGCAGGUUGAAGGUUGGGUAACACUAACUGGAGGACCGAACCGACUAAUGUUGAAAAAUUAGCGGAUGACUUGUGGCUGGGGGUGAAAGGCCAAUCAAACCGGGAGAUAGCUGGUUCUCCCCGAAAGCUAUUUAGGUAGCGCCUCGUGAACUCAUCUUCGGGGGUAGAGCACUGUUUCGGCUAGGGGGUCAUCCCGACUUACCAACCCGAUGCAAACUACGAAUACCGAAGAAUGUUAUCACGGGAGACACACGGCGGGUGCUAACGUCCGUCGUGAAGAGGGAAACAACCCAGACCGCCAGCUAAGGUCCCAAAGUCAUGGUUAAGUGGGAAACGAUGUGGGAAGGCACAGACAGCCAGGAUGUUGGCUUAGAAGCAGCCAUCAUUUAAAGAAAGCGUAAUAGCUCACUGGUCGAGUCGGCCUGCGCGGAAGAUGUAACGGGGCUAAACCAUGCACCGAAGCUGCGGCAGCGACACUAUGUGUUGUUGGGUAGGGGAGCGUUCUGUAAGCCUGCGAAGGUGACCUGUGAGGGUUGCUGGAGGUAUCAGAAGUGCGAAUGCUGACAUAAGUAACGAUAAAGCGGGUGAAAAGCCCGCUCGCCGGAAGACCAAGGGUUCCUGUCCAACGUUAAUCGGGGCAGGGUGAGUCGACCCCUAAGGCGAGGCCGAAAGGCGUAGUCGAUGGGAAACAGGUUAAUAUUCCUGUACUUGGUGUUACUGCGAAGGGGGGACGGAGAAGGCUAUGUUAGCCGGGCGACGGUUGUC
rnacentral:rRNA from 1 species